UUUGCUGCUCAUGCUCAGUAAAGUUUUUUCCCCCUGAGGCAUUUGGAUGCCAAGAUGGUGGAGGAGGAAUCUUCCCCCUCCUCCUUCUGAGGGGAGACCGAGGGCUGUGACCUACAAAGUAAAUUUCCCAUCAAUGGGAUUGCAUGUGAAACACGCGGAAGGCAAGCUGGGCGCCAAACUGGCCAGGGGAGAUCCUAAUUGCUUCUGCAUGGAAGAUGUUAUGCUCAUUAUUUAACAUUUAUUGGAAAAUACAACAAGAAGUUCAAUGAAACCACCAAAGAAAACUUCAGCCACAAUCUCAUUAAAGUCAGAAUAACUAUUGAGGAACCAUUUCCAAAACCAUGAAUGUGCCUGAAACUAGGCCCAGAAACCACAAGACUAUAGAAAAUAAAUGUUGUUCUUCAUUUGCUCAGGAAAAUCCAUGUGGUUCCUGCAGCUCUGCCAUCCAGACAGCAACCAGAUCUGCUGAGCUUCAGCAAGGAUCCUCUUCUUGUAGAUGCCUCCAGAGACUGUGCACUUUCCAGUUUGAGAGAUACUGACUCCAUCAAAUAGCUUAUUAUUUUCAAUCCAAGGACUGUCUCCCAUUCCAGAACAUCUCCACUCCAUGAAAUGUAGCAUAUAUGCUUAUUUCUAUUUGUGCUCUACAUAACAAAUAUCAAAGCAUUUGAAGAAAGAAGAACACUUGGAAUGUGGUAAGGGCCAAUAGAUAAGCAUGAUUUGUUAUAAUUUGGGAAAUAUAAGCAGAUGUAGACACCUGGUAUAGAAUAGAUAGGAUAGAAGUUGUUAAGUUAAAGUGAGGUCGUCAUUCAAUUUUUUAAAAUGAAAAAGAUCCCAAUUUAAUAAAGGCCAGCUCAUUUUUGAACCUGCUCCUGAGCAUUCAAAAUACUUGCAACAUCCCUAAGCUCAAGAGAGAAUGGAGAGCACACUUAAUAAACAAUCAUCUGGAAAUAACUGUCAAAUUAGAACAGAAGCCAAAUGCAACAGUUUGAGAUUAAUAACUUCUGGAUUAAUAUAAAAAGCCUUGGUAAAGUUCAGUUCCAAUAGGCUAGAAGCCUGCAGUUUUCUUUGUGUUUCAUUGGCUUGUUACACGGAAAGAUUUUAAACCUUCGUAGUUUGUAACUGUUAUAAAAUGUGUAUUUUUAAUUCAAUUCCUAGCGUAGUUCUAUCAGGGGUAAAAUCACUAUAUCAAUAUACACCCCAGCAGCAGUGUUCAGGAUUGCAGCUGUUACCUGUGGAUAUUGCGGGUGCCGUGCAUAAGUGAUUACAGUAACUCAAGCGGUGGUGGUGGUAUUACAUUAAAUACAAGAAUAAUGUCUUUGGGUGUCAAGAACCACCACUUUCUGAAGCUGUUAUCUGGUAGCCUCACCAGAUUAUGUGUGGUAGAAUCACAUAUAAUCACUAUUACAGAUUUAUUUAAUCACAAGGGAGUGCUUGGCAAGGUACAGAGCUAUCUUCAAUUUUUUUUUUCAUUCCUUAUUACAGUAACACAGCCUUUACCUGAGCAAUCUGAUCAAGGGGUGCAGCCCUAUUUUAAAUAUGUCCCACUGAUUAAUUCAUUCAAGUUACUGCUCCCAGUUCCAGCACCACUUUUGAGCAAUUGUACUCAGGUGUGCUCUCUUAAUGUGAUUUGGCACCCAAGUUCCAUGCAUUUAUCUCAGUGUUACCCUGUGACAUUGUGAUAGCAUCUAUCCAGUACUGAGGGAACAUUUUUGACUUGGGAUGCCGAGCUUGUGUACAUGUUGGUAUGUGCCACCAGUCUAAGCACUUAACAGCUGGGUCCAGAAAUCUUAAUAUCCAAGCACAUUGCCUCUGGUGGAAUGUUAUAAAGGGUGGCAUUAAACUAAGUUUUAUUCACAGCUGACCCCCCUGAAUUCAGUGGAUCUAACUUAAUCAUGUUCAUUGAUUUCAAUGGGUCUAUGCUGAGUAAAGCAUAGUUGAAUAACACUCAAAGAAAACUGCAGUGGGUUGAGUCAAGACUGAGCUAUUGCACUUAGUCCCAAUAGAAAUUAAUGGGUCUUACUUUUCAAAUUGAUUUCAAUGGGGCCUUAGUUUAACUUGGUGAGACUGGAUCCAGCCCAAUAUUAUUAUUAGCAGAACUGUUUUUUAAAGCCCCCCCCUUUUGUGCCUGAAGCUUUAUUAGGAUAAUUUUAAAAUAGAAAUCUUCAAAAUAAACAACCCCUAUAAACCCUACUCAGUUCCAAAUUCCUCCUGGAUACAUAACAACAUCAAAGGCGAUGCCAAUCACACUUUGCCAAUAAUGAAAAUGUCUAAAGCGGUAUCAUAUUUUUUCAAAUUCUUAUGAGAGGCAUUGUUUUUUUACAUUUGCACAGAACAAAUUUGCUCUAUAAACAUUUGUUUCUGUUGCCUGAUCAUGUUAAGUUUGAUAUCACUGCAUGAUGUUUUUAUUUGCCAUGCUUCAGUACCACUGUGGAGGCUGCAGAAGAAAGAUGGUUUUCUAGCUAUGGAAGGUGAACCCAAGAUAACUUCUUUGCUCUUCUAUAAACUACCCUGGAUAUAUGAUCAUCUUUUCUGUAUAGGAUCUUCUUAGUGACGCGAACCAAACCUCAUAGAUUACUCCAAGAUGUGUGAAUUCAGUUAGCUUCAGACACACAAUUUAGUUCACCUUUAGCAUAACUAAAAACACUGAACAUUUGAAAGUAGAAUAUCCCCUGCAUCUAAUAUUAUAUUAAUUUUACUUUAACCUGUUGGGCCUAUUAGGGUCCAGGAACCACCUGGCCUUUCCCUGGCCCAACAAUUGUCUUUCCCUGUUGAGUAAGGAUAUGUUUUUGUGAAAAUAAAAAAUUGCAUUUUUAAUGCAGUCUUCACCAAUGUUUGCUCUUUUUCAGCUAUUUUGUUGUUAUUUAGGGAUUUCUGUAAAUUCUAAUAAAAACUAACCUGAUCCACAACUUCCUAAUAGGCAGAACAAAGUAUAAUCAUCCUUUGGAUUUUGCAGUCAUCCACAUGUUGAGAUACAGUUCUUGACUUUAAAAUAUAGCAAAAUGCAUGAAAAAUAUGUGCUUUAGGCUAAAAUACAUUUUAGAAACAUGACAUUUGAGAGAGAGAUAUUUUAAUCAUGCAUAAUUCUU